GACGAACGCUGGCGGCGUGCUUAACACAUGCAAGUCGAACGGAAAGGCCCUGCUUUUGUGGGGUGCGCGAGUGGCGAACGGGUGAGUAACACGUGAGUAACCUGCCCUUGACUUUGGGAUAACUUCAGGAAACUGGGGCUAAUACCGGAUAGGAGCUCCUGCUGCAUGGUGGGGGUUGGAAAGUUUCGGCGGUUGGGGAUGGACUCGCGGCUUAUCAGCUUGUUGGUGGGGUAGUGGCUUACCAAGGCUUUGACGGGUAGCCGGCCUGAGAGGGUGACCGGCCACAUUGGGACUGAGAUACGACCCAGCCUCCUACGGGAGGCAGCAGUGCGGUAUAUUGCACAAUGGGCGGAAGCCUGAUGCAGCCACGCCGCGUGCGGGAUGACGGCCUUCGGGUUGUAAACCGCUUUCGCCUGUGACGAAGCGUGAGUGACGGUAAUGGGUAAAGAAGCACCGGCUAACUACGUG
rnacentral:rRNA from 1 species